rnacentral:lncRNA from 1 species
ACUCAAACCAGCUGUAUUAAGGAAGGUGCAAGCUUUUGGGAUUUCUGUUUGGAUUUAGUUUAGGUUCAAAAGAGCACGCACAGAUCCUGAGUGUUGUCAAGCACCCGUGACUGGGAAACGGAGGCGUCCGAUCCGUAUUGGAGUCAAUUCGCCACUUAAUUGAACACAGCCUCGAAGGGAAGGGCCAUAUUUGUGGGCCUGUCUAACAAUUAAGAGUGACCACAUGGAAUGGGGGAUGAAAGGGUUAAAGAAGAACAAAUAUUGAACACAGCUUUUCUAUGAACAAACUGCAGGCAGCUGCUGCUUUGCAAGGGGAACUUCUUGGCUGCCAUUUCUGGAUGUCAAGGCUGCAGAUACACUGGUCAGGACCCUGGGUAGAGAGAGAUGCGUCAGAAUGCGGCUCCUUUCAGAAAGGCUUCUCCGGAGGUCAGCACUCGGGCAAAAGGCUGUGUGUGAUGUGUUUGGGAACACAAAGAAAAACCCUUUGAAAAGAUUCAGCACGUUGCCAUGGAGAACAUCCCACUGAAGGAAUGUAUAGAAGUAGCAGGGUUAACUGAGUGCCUUCCAUCUUCCCUCCAAGGGAUCUGCAAUGAGAUGGGAGAAGGCAACAGGCUGUGUGGGAACCACUGAAGCUGGGAUGGCAGGGAAAGAACAUCUUAGGCUAACUCUUCAAGCCUUGCUGUCACAUUUGCUUUUGAGUCUAUGGUUCCUUAUUAUUUUGGAAGGGUCUGAGAACCCACAGGGCACCCUGGGUCAUGACUCAUGUGACUGAGGAAGCACACAGAUCUGUGGAUCUCCAAGUCUAGAUGACAGCAAGCUAACAGGACACUGUUUAUGACAUAUAUAGCCCCCCCCCAACCCCUGCAGAUUUCAAAUAGGUUCUGACAAAGCUUUGUGGUAUCUGAAGGGUAGAUAGAGAAAAUAAGUGUAUCAUUUUGGUUUCUGUUUCUGCAUUACAGGUGUCAGCUGCCUACCAGUUGCUUUCAUCUCUAGAAAUCUGUGACUUGCAGUAUGACAAGAACAAAAGGUGACAAUACAAAGGACAAAGGGCAAGGAAUACAGACGGAGAAGCCGCUUAGAGUCUAGGAUGGCAGAGGUUCUCUUGAUCAUUUCAUUUUUGAGCGCUUGUAGAGCUUUGGUGUACCAGAGGUGCUUGAACAGCUUACCACACCACAGAUGAAUGGCCUUUGGAUUUCUCCUAAGAAAAUGUGGCUACCUGAAAUUCAACUCCAUUUUCUGGUCUUCAAUAUUUCUUUUGUGUUCAGUUUGCCAGCUGAGGAGAAGUGGCUAAGCAUAGCCUGUUACUGAUGCUAAAGCCCAAGUUCUGAACCUAACAACUCCAGCAACAUGAUCCUGUUUCAAGAGACAAAAAAGUGACUAAUGAAAGAAAACAAUUGAUGUGCUAUGUAGAGUUUAAAAGAAGGUAAAGAGAAUAAAUUAAAAGCAACAAC